UUCGAACAAAAAAAUUACGAAUUUUCUAAAUAAAAGGACAUUUUGAUAAAUUCAAGCGGAACUUUCUGGAAGCCAAUGGCUUCCUUUUUCUUCUUCCCUGCGUGCAAAACCAGCAGCUCUGCUGCUGCGUUCUUCUCCUCUUUAAUUCUCCUUCACUCCAAAAAACUUCAUUUAAUCAUAGCUUUCUCGUACGGCAACGAAAUCAUGCAAGGUCGAAGUCUAUGUAUUCGUAGCGAAGCCCUCUUCAAUUUGAUACCAAACCCAUAUGCUGGAACCAAGCGUGCCCAUAUAUUGAAGCCCAGAAGCUUCGACGGUUUUCGUGGUUUUUUUUUUUCGCCGCCGGAGAUAGGUCUCGACCCAAGAGAAAAAAUACUCCUCUCUUCAUGCGCUUCCAGGAUAUGUAAGCGGAUCUUUCGAAUUUCAGGUUUCAUUUUCGAAUAAGUUUGAGAUUUAUGUGUUUAACUCGAAAUUCUGGGGUUCUUGUUGAGGAGUUGUGGUGGUGACGUUGAUUUAAGAGCUUAGUAGCUAAGUGGUAGAUGGAUGAACAACUUUGGAGGAGUUUGGAGGGCAGGACAAGAACAAGGAAAGAUUCAGGUGUUGUGCUAGAAAGUUUGGAGGACUUGUGUUGACAAAGGUAGUCAAACACGAGGUAGGAGGUUCUAGGGAAACUCCAUUAUAAGUAUUAUUCUUUAUUAUUUGUAUUGUUAUGGGAUCUAAAUAUUGUUUGAUAAUUAUUUGGAUAUGAUUGCCAGCUAAAUACCUAUAUGAACUUAGCAUUACUAUCUAGCAUGAGAUAGAAGAAAGUCAGAAGAUGAGUCAGGUACUUUAUUAGAUUUUUAGUAGAAAUAGUAAUAAAGGGAAUUCCUUGUGUUGUGCUCCAUAUGAUUAGAUGCUUGGUUGAUACGUGGAAUCGAUAGCGUGUAUGCGUACAAUUAUGUAUAAUGUGUGAUGAAUUUACUAGCAUCAAGUAGCAGUGGUACAUGGAUGGUCCUGCUUGGUAUAUCCGCGAUAGGGGACCAUACGUAUUUCAGGGGUGAUCAUGCUUGUUAUAUCUGUGAUGGGUGAUCACCACCUAUACGAUUAGACUAUGUUUAUGAUUCUGCUUGGUAUAUCUGCAAUAGGGACCAUACGCAUUUUAGGAGUGAUCAUGCUUGGUAUAUUCGCAAUGGGUGAUCAUUACCUAGAGCUAUAGGAUACAGUCCUGCUUGGUAUAUCCGCGAUCGGGGACUGUUAGGGGUGAUCAUGCUUAGUAUAUUAUAUCCAUGAUGGGUGGUCACUGCCUACGUUAUUAGACUAUGACUAUGGUUCUGCUUGGUUUAUCCGCAAUAGGGGGAUCAUACACAUUAUAGGAGUGAUCAUGCUUGGUAUAUCCGUGAUGGGUGAUCACUACGUAGAGUUAGGAUGUGGUCCUGCUUGGUUAUAUAUGAUGGGAGACCAUACGUACUACAGGGGUGAUCAUACUUGGUAUAUCCGCGAUGGGUGAUCACUGCCUGCACGCUUAGAUUAUGCAUAUGGUUCUGCUUGGUAUAUCUGCAAUGAGAGAACAUACGCAUAUCAAAGGUGAUGAGGAUUAGCGGUACUUGGAACAUUUCGGUAGGUGCCAUAUUUUAGUUGGAUUUUGUUAAGUGGUUCGGAAUCCUUGCUCUUACUCAUUUUCAUAAGUUAGACUGGAACCCUAGAUUCGAGUGAAUGGGGAUUAACCACACUAGCUCUUGUGAAUAUAAAUGAAAUUUACCAUGUUAUUACUUAUAAUCAAAGUAGGGAAUUAUGUAGAGUUCUUUAAUUAUAUUCAUGAAAUGAUUUGUUAUUUCAUUGAUUAAUUAACGAGUCAGAUGUUAAUAUCGUGCAUCUUUGAUUCAUGGAAUUGAUUAAUUGACGUGAUUGUGGAGUGUUGUUGGAUAUGAUUGUUAUUAUUCUGAAUAGAUUAGUAGAUCAAUGUGGUUUGAGAAUAAUAUUGUGCUCCAUUGGUUCUUUGAUAUGUUACAUGUUGUGGAUUGAGGUAUCAUGUUGAAAACAUAGUGAUUUAUAUUAUGGAUGGAAAGGAAAUCUUGAAUGUCAUGUGGGUUUGUUAUGCAGCUCUGGACCUAGUAAUUUCAUGCUUGUUAAGUUCUAAUAAAUGAUUGGGGAAUGCUAUGCUUUUUUGCUUGAACGUACUGUGAUAAAUGUUGGAGUGUAGUGAAUGGUGAACUACAAAUGUCUUGAUCCCUUUUUAGGGUACGUUGGCAGUCUAACGAGGAGAUUAGAUGCAGCCAAAAAGUAUACGAAAAUUACUACGCAAUUCGAAUCUUGAAUUAUGCUUUGUACAUAUCUCGGAGGUCGAGUCAGUGGGAUUUACAGAUGCAUGAUGACGUCACGUGUCGAUCCUGGACAUAUGUUGGGAUCGAGGUGUGACAUAACAGAUGGGAGGAUCUGAGCUUGACAAGCUUUGGGUUGAAGAUGAAGACUCUAACCACUUGGGACGCAGUGCUUUCAUUGUAAAGCAAGUUUUUUUCCGUUGGUGUUGGAUCAAAAUUUCUUACAAGAAGCAAUACCUCCACAUGUGUAUGGACUGAAAUCUGCACACUUAUAAAUCACUCAUCACGAAGAACUUUGAAUGCACAUUUUGAAGUUUUGUGUAAGUAUGGGGUGGUUUGUGAAUCAUGUGGUAGCGAAAGUCUAUCGUCUUUAAUUUUGAAGAAAUUGUAUCUACACAACAAUUAAGCACAUUUGAUCAAAGACCAAAACUACGCACCUAAGAAGUGUUGGGAGGGUUGGUCAAUGGAUCUCUAAUGAUUAAGUUAGUUUAUAUGAAAAUAAAGAGUUCAGAGCUUAAUUGA